GAUGAACGCUGGCGGCGUGCUUAACACAUGCAAGUCGAACGAUGAAGGCGGAGCUUGCUCUGCUGGAUCAGUGGCGAGCGGGUGAGUAACACGUGAGCAAUCUGCCCCUGACUCUGGGAUAAGCGCUGGAAACGGCGUCUAAUACUGGAUACGAGCUGCGAAGGCAUCUUCAGCAGCUGGAAAGAACUUCGGUCAGGGAUGAGCUCGCGGCCUAUCAGCUUGUUGGUGAGGUAACGGCUCACCAAGGCGUCGACGGGUAGCCGGCCUGAGAGGGUGACCGGCCACACUGGGACUGAGACACGGCCCAGACUCCUACGGGAGGCAGCAGUGGGGAAUAUUGCACAAUGGGCGAAAGCCUGAUGCAGCAACGCCGCGUGAGGGACGACGGCCUUCGGGUUGUAAACCUCUUUUAGCAGGGAAGAAGCGAAAGUGACGGUACCUGCAGAAAAAGCGCCGGCUAACUACGUG
rnacentral:rRNA from 1 species